rnacentral:rRNA from 1 species
AUUGAACGCUAGCGGGAUGCUUUACACAUGCAAGUCGAACGAGUGGCGGACGGGUGAGUUAUCAAUCGGACCGUGCUCAGUAGAGGGGGAUAACUACUCGAAAGAGUGACUAAUAACGCAUACAAUUGGAGCGGCCGAAAUCGGAUUAGCGAGUUGGUGGGGUAAAGGCUCACCAAGGCAACGAUCCGUAGCUGGUUUGAGAGGACGAACAGCCACACUGGGACUGAGACACGGCCCAGACUCCUACGGGAGGCAGCAGUGGGGAAUAUUGGACAAUGGGGGAAACCCUGAUCCAGCCAUCCCGCGUGUAUGAGAAGGCCUUCGGGUUGUAAAGUACUUUUGGCAGGGAAGCGGUAUCUGCAGAAUAAGCACCGGCUAACUACGUGCCAGCAGCCGCGGUAAUUC